CGGGACACGUGGUAUCCUGUCUGAAUAUGGGGGGACCAUCCUCCAAGGCUAAAUACUCCUGACUGACCGAUAGUGAACCAGUACCGUGAGGGAAAGGCGAAAAGAACCCCGGCGAGGGGAGUGAAAAAGAACCUGAAACCGUGUACGUACAAGCAGUGGGAGCACGCUUAGGCGUGUGACUGCGUACCUUUUGUAUAAUGGGUCAGCGACUUAUAUUCUGUAGCAAGGUUAACCGAAUAGGGGAGCCGAAGGGAAACCGAGUCUUAACUGGGCGUUAAGUUGCAGGGUAUAGACCCGAAACCCGGUGAUCUAGCCAUGGGCAGGUUGAAGGUUGGGUAACACUAACUGGAGGACCGAACCGACUAAUGUUGAAAAAUUAGCGGAUGACUUGUGGCUGGGGGUGAAAGGCCAAUCAAACCGGGAGAUAGCUGGUUCUCCCCGAAAGCUAUUUAGGUAGCGCCUCGUGAAUUCAUCUCCGGGGGUAGAGCACUGUUUCGGCAAGGGGGUCAUCCCGACUUACCAACCCGAUGCAAACUGCGAAUACCGG
rnacentral:rRNA from 1 species